rnacentral:rRNA from 1 species
AACGAACGCUGGCGGCGCGCCUAACACAUGCAAGUCGAACGAGAAGGCGUAGCAAUACGCUUGUAGAGUGGCGAACGGGUGAGUAAUACGUGGGUGACCUACCCUCGAGUGGGGAAUAACCCGCCGAAAGGCGGGCUAAUGCCGCGUACGCUUCCGUCCUCACGGGGACGGAAGGAAAGCUGUACCGUGGGUACGGCGCUCAAGGGAUGGGCUCACGUCCUAUCAGCCUGUUGGUAGGGUAACGGCCACCAAGGCUACGACGGGUAGCUGGUCUGAGAGGACGAUCAGCCACACUGGCACUGCGACACGGGCCAGACUCCUACGGGAGGCAGCAGUGAGGAAUAUUGCGCAAUGGGCGAAAGCCUGACGCAGCGACGCCGCGU